rnacentral:rRNA from 1 species
UACGGAGGGGGCGAGCGUUAUUCGGAAUUAUUGGGCGUAAAGGGCGCGUAGGCGGCCGGAUAAGUCAAAGGUGAAAUCCCUCGGCUCAACUGAGGAACUGCCUUUGAUACUGUUUGGCUUGAGUCCGGGAGGGGGUAGCGGAAUUCCCAGUGUAGCGGUGAAAUGCGUAGAUAUUGGGAGGAACACCAGUGGCGAAGGCGGCUACCUGGACCGGAACUGACGCUGAUGCGCGAAAGCGUGGGGAGCAAACAGG